UACGUAGGGUGCAAGCGUUGUCCGGAAUUAUUGGGCGUAAAGAGCUCGUAGGCGGUCUGUCGCGUCGGAUGUGAAAACCCAGGGCUCAACCCUGGGCCUGCAUUCGAUACGGGCAGACUAGAGUUCGGUAGGGGAGACUGGAAUUCCUGGUGUAGCGGUGAAAUGCGCGGAUAUCAGGAGGAACACCGGUGGCGAAGGCGGGUCUCUGGGCAGUAACUGACGCUGAGGAGCGAAAGCGUGGGGAGCGAACAGG
rnacentral:rRNA from 1 species